rnacentral:rRNA from 1 species
GGAUUAGAUACCCUGGUAGUCCACGCCGUAAACGAUGAUUACUCGUUGUGCGCGAUACACCGUGCGUGACUGAGCGAAAGCAUUAAGUAAUCCACCUGGGGAGUACGUUGGCAACAAUGAAACUCAAAGGAAUUGACGGGGGCCCGCACAAGCGGAGGAACAUGUGGUUUAAUUCGAUGAUACGCGAGGAACCUUACCUGGGCUUAAAUGCAUCUUGACCAAUCCGGAAACGGGUUUUCUCUUCGGAGCAAGAUACAAGGUGCUGCAUGGUUGUCGUCAGCUCGUGCCG